UUUGUGACCAGGACAUAUUGCUUUCCUAAGUACUAGUGCCGCAGGAGUUAGGUUUGUGUCCGCAAUGCCUCCUGCUGCCCAAGUGCUUAUUAAAGCGACUAGUUUUCCACCAGC
rnacentral:pre_miRNA from 11 species